CCUUCUCAGUCCCACACGCAUGGGGAAAACAAGAAAAAGGCAGGGGCGCCAUCGAUCCCUGCCGGGCAGCGCCGGCUCCCCAUUGUCGCCGCUAGCCGCUCGUCGCCGGUAGCAGCCCUCGUACCCCCUGGUGUGCCCUCGUGCAGCAAAUCGCGCUGCUGGAUCCAACAAAAAAUGGGGGCAAAAAUCACCGUGCCCGCAGCCGUCCACUGCUGCAACCCUCCACCCAUCAGAGGUGUCGCGGCUGUCACCGGGAUGCUGCGAGGGCGGAGACCAUGCGGAGAUGCUCCAACGCUGACAACGGCGGGCGACGUGACCCUGCAGCAUCGUCUUGCUGCGACCGGCAAGGCAUUUUGCUGGAACCAGCGACACCAAUUGCUGGAACCGGCACGUCAGGGAGCUGGAACGCGGAGUGGGGCGUGGAGCUACAACCUCAUGCGCCCGGAGUUGCAACCGCCCACAAAAAAAGCUACUACCUGCAACCCAAAAAGCUACUGCCGGCAGAUUGAUUUGCUACCACUGACGACGCGAGACAGCUGCAAGCGUCGAGCAGGAAGCUGCAACCCGCCUGCAAAAAAGCUACUACGGGCAAUGGAAAAAGCUACUACCGACGAACAUUUUUGCUACAAUGGGCGACGCUGAAUUUUGUGGCCGGUGAAGGUAGACGACUACAACCAAGGGAAGAUACAAACCGCAGAGAAAAAUGCUACAACCAGCAUAUGGAACAGCUACAACGCACCACGAGCUGGGAUGGUCAGUGCGGAGAACUGCGAUGGUCACCAUGGCGUUUGGGGCCAUGGUUUCGACAACCUGCGACAGUCACUACGCUGAGCUAGAAUGGUGGCUGUGAUUUGCUGCAUCAGCGCUGACGAGCCGGCGAGCUUCGAUGCCGGUGUCUCCGCUCAUCCAUGGUGGGUGGUCAGCAGGGGCUUGGUUGCGGCUGCGUCGUCGGUGGUAGCACUGGUUCAGGCGAGCUGAAGAAAAAUGCGUUGCUACAAGGAAGAAGAAGGAACGGACAUGGCUACUUGACUAAGAGAUAAGACUGUGUUAAAAAAAGAUAGAUGUGUGGGCCUAGCCAGCGCGCGACCGGCGCAGCGUUUCCGCCGGUGCCCCGGCUGGAAACGUUUACCUUACUUUUUUUGCCGAGCCGUGGAACAGUUCGUCAAUACGUGUGACGGCCGUCCGCGGCGCCUACCGGACGUCAUGUGCGUACGGUUCGGCUCGAGAGAGGUCAGCCACCAAAUCCUCCUGACUAGGUCGUUCUUGAAGCCCGCCGCCACCGCGAAAGGCUUGCCCAGAUCCAGCGCGGUACGGCGAGCUUAGGGAGCCCCGGCCGGUGAGCGAUGGAAGAUGCUAGGCUCGAGUUCCUGCUUGAUGCAGUGGGCAGGAUUCCGCUCCGUGAAGGGUUCGCGGACAGUGUAGAUCAUCCUGAUCCGGUCCCUCUGGCGGUGCUCCCGCGAGCUGAUGUCGCCCCUACUGCUCAGGUGGACUCAAAUGGCUGCUUAGGUUGCGGGCAAAACUGUUGGGUGCGCAGUCGCGGGGGAGCCGCAGGCAAUCAAUGGCGACAAGGUCUGCUCAAUCAACGGACAGGGUGAACCCGAGGCUCCGGCUUAGGCAAAAAGUUCAGAAGUUACUAAACUACAAGACUAUUCAGCGCUGGCACAAGAGGUGGUGAGGAAUAGCGACUACGACGAGCAAAGACGCGGUGCAGCCGGCAACAACGACUGUCGCCUGCUCUCUGGUAAGGCCUCCAUCUUUUAUCUCUUUUUGUGUCACUUUGAACUAUACACAAGUGCAAACUAGUUCGGCUCAAGAAAAGUAUAAACAAGACACAACCCUCUUAACAAUGCCUUGCUGCUGUAAGUAGCUGAAGCCUUCCUGGCACUUGAUUCAGCAGAUUCUCAAUUUCUCGUCAGUUGUUUUCUUCUUUCUUGUAUCACCGCCCUCCCGCGUACAACGGAAGACGACGAACAGUUUGAUGGUUUUUUUUUGUCUUUCUCAGCUGUUGUUAUAUCUUAAUUAGGAAUUCACUUUUCAUUUAGCGUUAAUAUGGAUACGAGAGUGGAUCAAACUAGGAGUAAUCUGCUGCUUCUUAAUGUUGGAUAAUUGGAUCGAGAUUCACCCUCUCUAAUCAUUAUUAGCUUGCCAUAUUCUUGAACCUCAACAAGUCAUGAAGAAUCCCAUACUUCUUUCCAGUUUAAUAUUGGCAAUUCACCCUUGUUGUUUGCAUAUCGCUAAUCCGUUGCGGAAUUAUCAAAUUGUCUAAAUUUUCUCUUCCAGUACAAUGUUUCCUUUUUGUUUCCAACUUUAUGAAUUCAUAGUAACUUUACUGAUUUGGAUGAGCUGAGGAUGAAAGAAGAGAUCAGUGCUGCCACAUGGUGCUUCCCAUUCGAGCAAUUGCGGUGUGUAGAAAUGCUUUAUGACUUGCAUUCCAGCCGAUGAACUAUGGUUGUAUUGUCGCAUUAGGCCACAUUUUUGUCCUGUCAGAUAUCAGUGUAUUUUUAUUUAUAUUUGCAAUUAUUUCACUCUUUUUUCUCAAUUUAUAUUUGGUCUAUAUGGACCACGGACAAUCAGUUUGGAUGCUUAUACGCCAUCAGUUUGGAUGGCAAAACAGCACAAAACGAGAUUGUGCUUAAAGUUUU